rnacentral:rRNA from 1 species
GUGGGGAAUCUUAGACAAUGGGCGCAAGCCUGAUCUAGCCAUGCCGCGUGAGCGAUGAAGGCCUUAGGGUUGUAAAGCUCUUUCGUGGGGGAAGAUAAUGACUGUACCCCAAGAAGAAGCCCCGGCUAACUCCGUGCCAGCAGCCGCGGUAAUACGUAGGGGGCGAGCGUUGUCCGGAAUUACUGGGCGUAAAGCGCGCGUAGGCGGAUUGGAAAGUUGGGGGUGAAAUCCCGGGGCUCAACCUUGGAACUGCCUUCAAAACUCCUGGUCUGGAGUUCGAGAGAGGUGAGUGGAAUUCCGAGUGUAGAGGUGAAAUUCGUAGAUAUUCGGAGGAACACCAGUGGCGAAGGCGGCUCACUGGCUCGAUACUGACGCUGAGGUGCGAAAGCGUGGGGAGCAAACAGGAUUAGAUACCCGAGUAGUCC